ACGAACGCUGGCGGCAGGCUUAACACAUGCAAGUCGAACGCUCCGCAAGGGGAGUGGCGCACGGGUGAGGAACACGUGGGUACCUACCUUCUGGUACGGAAUAACCCCGGGAAACUGGGGCUAAUACCGUAUAUCUCCUACGGGAGAAAGAUUUAUCGCCAGAAGAGGGGCCCGCGUCCGAUUAGCUAGUUGGUGAGGUAAUGGCUCACCAAGGCUCCGAUCGGUAGCUGGUCUGAGAGGACGAUCAGCCACACUGGGACUGAGACACGGCCCAGACUCCUACGGGAGGCAGCAGUGGGGAAUAUUGGACAAUGGGGGCAACCCUGAUCCAGCCAUGCCGCGUGAGUGAAGAAGGCCUUCGGGUUGUAAAGCUCUUUUGGCGGGGACGAUGAUGACGGUACCCGCAGAAUAAGCCCCGGCUAACUUCGU
rnacentral:rRNA from 1 species